UGGGGAAUUGUUCGCAAUGGGCGCAAGCCUGACGACGCAACGCCGCGUGGAGGAUGAAGGUCUUCGGAUUGUAAACUCCUGUUGCUCGGGACGAAAAGCUCCGACCUAACACGUCGGAGUCUGACGGUACCGAGUGAGGAAGCCCCGGCUACCUCUGUGCCAGCAGCCGCGGUAAUACAGAGGGGGCAAGCGUUGUUCGGAAUUACUGGGCGUAAAGGGCGCGUAGGCGGCCUGCUAAGUCGAACGUGAAAUCCCUGGGCUCAACCCAGGAACUGCGUCCGAUACUGGUUGGCUUGAAUCCGGGAGAGGGAUGUGGAAUUCCAGGUGUAGCGGUGAAAUGCGUAGAUAUCUGGAGGAACACCGGUGGCGAAGGCGACAUCCUGGACCGGUAUUGACGCUGAGGCGCGAAAGCCAGGGGAGCAAACGGG
rnacentral:rRNA from 1 species